rnacentral:rRNA from 1 species
UACGUAGGGUGCAAGCGUUGUCCGGAAUUAUUGGGCGUAAAGAGCUCGUAGGCGGUCUGUCGCGUCUGCUGUGAAAACUCAGGGCUUAACCCUGAGCUUGCAGUGGGUACGGGCAGACUAGAGGUGCGGUAGGGGAGACUGGAAUUCCUGGUGUAGCGGUGAAAUGCGCAGAUAUCAGGAGGAACACCGGUGGCGAAGGCGGCAUCCUGGACCGACAUUGACGC